GACGAACGCUGGCGGCGUGCUUAACACAUGCAAGUCGAACGGAAAGGCCCUGCUUUUGUGGGGUGCUCGAGUGGCGAACGGGUGAGUAACACGUGAGUAACCUGCCCUUGACUUUGGGAUAACUUCAGGAAACUGGGGCUAAUACCGGAUAGGAGCUCCUGCUGCAUGGUGGGGGUUGGAAAGUUUCGGCGGUUGGGGAUGGACUCGCGGCUUAUCAGCUUGUUGGUGGGGUAGUGGCUUACCAAGGCUUUGACGGGUAGCCGGCCUGAGAGGGUGACCGGCCACAUUGGGACUGAGAUACGGCCCAGACGCCUACGGGAGGCAGCAGUGGGGAAUAUUGCACAAUGGGCGGAAGCCUGAUGCAGCAACGCCGCGUGCGGGAGGACGGCCUUCGGGUUGUAAACCGCUUUCGCCUGUGACGAAGCGUGAGUGACGGGAAUGGGGAAAGAAGCACCGGCUAACUACGG
rnacentral:rRNA from 1 species